rnacentral:antisense_RNA from 1 species
CUACCUGCAAACUUAUGCUGGGGAAGAAAAAUCAAGUGGAGUUUUUUAAGGAGCAAACUGAGAUAAUAAGAGCAUCACUUAUUUAAAAAGAUUAUGCAGGUUUUUCCAGCAUAACCAGGAUGACACUUGCACUUGUUUGGCCCGAUACAUUCACCAUGUUUGCAUCGUGGUUGGCACACAGCUGUGAAAAGAAGAUGGCAUGCAUUAUUUCUAGGUCAACGAAACACCAAUCAUAUAGCACUGAUGUCGUGCACUAGUUUAAUAAUAAAAGAAAAAAUACCAGAACUUACAACAAAGUAGCCAAAGUAUACAAAAUCAGUUUCCUAUAAACACUCUGUAAGCUACACACACACACAUGUGUUAUGUAUGUAUAUGUGUGUAUCAGUUGGGGCUGAAAAAAAUUUUAAAUUCAAGGACAAUACUCAAAUAGACAAAUAAAACUAGGUAAAACUAUG